GAUGAACGCUGGCGGCGUGCUUAACACAUGCAAGUCGAACGGAAAGGCCCUGCUUUUGUGGGGUGCUCGAGUGGCGAACGGGUGAGUAACACGUGAGUAACCUGCCCUUGACUUUGGGAUAACUUCAGGAAACUGGGGCUAAUACCGGAUAGGAGCUCCUGCUGCAUGGUGGGGGUUGGAAAGUUUCGGUGGUUGGGGAUGGACUCGCGGCUUAUCGGCUUGUUGGUGGGGUAGUGGCUUUCCAAGGCUUUGACGGGUAGCCCGCCUGGGAGGGUGACCGGCCACAUUGGGACUGAGAUACGGCCCAGACUCCUACGGGAGGCAGCGGUGGGGAAUCUUGCACAAUGGGCGGAAGCCUGAUGCAGCAACGCCGCGUGCGGGAUAACGGCUUUCGGGUUGUAAACCGCUUUCGCCUGUGACGAAGCGUGAGUGACGGUAAUGGGUAAAAAAGCACCGGCUAACUACGUG
rnacentral:rRNA from 1 species